rnacentral:rRNA from 1 species
GAUCAUGGCUCAGGAUGAACGCUGGCGGCGUGCUUAACACAUGCAAGUCGAACGGGAAAUACUUUAUUGAAACUUCGGUCGAUUUAAUCUAUUUCUAGUGGCGGACGGGUGAGUAACGCGUGGGUAACCUGCCUUGUACUGGGGGAUAACAGCCAGAAAUGGCUGCUAAUACCGCAUAAGCGCACGGAGGCGCAUGUCUCUGUGUGAAAAACUCCGGUGGUAUAAGAUGGACCCGCGUUGGAUUAG